rnacentral:rRNA from 1 species
GUGCCAGCAGCCGCGGUAAUACGUAGGGCGCAAGCGUUAUCCGGAAUUAUUGGGCGUAAAGAGCUCGUGGGCGGUUUGUCGCGUCUGCUGUGAAAACUGGAGGCUCAACCUCCAGCCUGCAGUGGGUACGGGCAGACUAGAGUGCGGUAGGGGAGAUUGGAAUUCCUGGUGUAGCGGUGGAAUGCGCAGAUAUCAGGAGGAACACCGAUGGCGAAGGCAGAUCUCUGGGCCGUAACUGACGCUGAGGAGCGAAAGAGUGGGGAGCAAACAGGCUUAGAUACCCUGGUAGUCCACUCCGUAAACGUUGGGAACUAGUUGUGGGGGCCUUUCCACGGUCUCCGUGACGCAGCUAACGCAUUAAGUUCCCCGCCUGGGGAGUACGGCCGCAAGGCUAAAACUCAAAGGAAUUGACGGGGACCCGCACAAGCGGCGGAGCAUGCGGAUUAAUUCGAUGCAACGCGAAGAACCUUACCAAGGCUUGACAUAUACAGGUAACGGCCAGAGAUGGUCGCCCCCUUGUGGUCUGUAUACAGGUGGUGCAUGGUUGUCGUCAGCUCGUGUCGUGAGAUGUUGGGUUAAGUCCCGCAACGAGCGCAACCCUCGUUCUAUGUUGCCAGCACGUUAUGGUGG